UCUUCGAGUCGUUGAUUUCACACUGCCGAGAAAAGCCUCUAGAUAGAAAAUAGGUGCCCGUACCGCAAACCGACACAGGUAGUCAAGAUGAGAAUUCUAAGGUGAGCGAGCGAACUCUCGUUAAGGAACUCGGCAAAAUGACCCCGUAACUUCGGGAGAAGGGGUGCUCUUUAGGGUUAACGCCCAGAAGAGCCGCAGUGAAUAGGCCCAAGCGACUGUUUAUCAAAAACACAGGUCUCUGCUAAACCGUAAGGUGAUGUAUAGGGGCUGACGCCUGCCCGGUGCUGGAAGGUUAAGAGGAGUGGUUAGCUUCUGCGAAGCUACGAAUCGAAGCCCCAGUAAACGGCGGCCGUAACUAUAACGGUCCUAAGGUAGCGAAAUUCCUUGUCGGGUAAGUUCCGACCCGCACGAAAGGCGUAACGAUUUGGGCACUGUCUCAACGAGAGACUCGGUGAAAUCAUAGUACCUGUGAAGAUGCAGGUUACCCGCGACAGGACGGAAAGACCCCGUGGAGCUUUACUGUAGCCUGAUAUUGAAAUUCGGCACAGCUUGUACAGGAUAGGUAGGAGCCUUUGAAACGUGAGCGCUAGCUUACGUGGAGGCGCUGGUGGG
rnacentral:rRNA from 1 species